AGUGAUGAUAGAGGCGCGAACGUCAAUAGUAUCCAUUCGGAGAUUUGCAAAAUCUGUGAAGUUUGGGGAAAGGGGCGGUCGCCGAAGUGUGCGGAGUGAUUGCAAACCCGUAUGCUGGUCCGGCAUUUAAGAAGUGCCGGGCUGUCAGAGUCAAUCUCUGGAGGGCUAUCUCACAU
rnacentral:ncRNA from 2 species